GCCUGGCUGGCUCAGUCGGUGGAGGGUGUGACUUUUGAUCUCGAGGUUGUGAGUUUGAACCUCACAUUGGGUA
rnacentral:tRNA from 1 species